UAUUGCACAAUGGGGGAAACCCUGAUGCAGCGACGCCGCGUGGGCGAGGAAGUAUUUCGGUAUGUAAAGCCCUGUCAGCGGGGAAGAAGAAUGACGGUACCCGACCAAGAAGCACCGGCUAAAUACGUGCCAGCAGCCGCGGUAAUACGUAUGGUGCAAGCGUUAUCCGGAUUUACUGGGUGUAAAGGGAGCGCAGGCGGCGCGCCAAGUCCGGUGUGAAAGCCCGGGGCUCAACCCCGGGACUGCACUGGAAACUGGCGAGCUAGAGUGCCGGAGGGGUAGGCGGAAUUCCUGGUGUAGCGGUGAAAUGCGUAGAUAUCAGGAGGAACACCGGUGGCGAAGGCGGCCUACUGGACGGCAACUGACGCUGAGGCUCGAAAGCGUGGGGAGCAAACAGG
rnacentral:rRNA from 1 species